rnacentral:lncRNA from 1 species
AUGACUGGCAGGCUCAGCGGGGACUUCUAUCAGACCAUUUACACGUCCUUUUCCCAUGAGGCUUGGCAUUCUCACCGUACAGCUGCUGGCUCCCAGGGCUUGUGUUCCGAGAGGGAACAUCCAGAUAGUAGAGGUUCCAGAAAGCCAGAUGGAAACCUUAUGCCUCUGAGGAUCUUGUCUUGGAAGUCACAUAACAUCACUUCUUCUGUUUUCUACAGGUCAAAACAGUCACAACCCUGCUCAAAUUCGCAAAGAUGGGACGGAAAUGGAACCUCUUCAUGGGAGGAAGGGACAAAAACAAAACAGUUUGUAGGGAGAACGGCAAACGACUUGUCUCCUGACUACCAUCCCUGUUACUGGAGAUUGCAGAGAAUUAUCACCAUAACUGGAGCUGGACAAAUGGUCUCAUCCACUGGGAAAUGUCUAGAAGGUAAGGCCAAAACCAGUUUGACAUCAAAUUUUUUCAGUAUUUUAUCCCAGAAUUUGUGCCUUCUCCUUUUAGUUCGAACUUUUUCCCCCUUCCUCCAGAGUAUUCAUUUGUCAAAUCCCGAUGCUUUUUAUAACCGAAGUUAUAAAGGACUCUAGUUAGACAAUAGUAUUACAAGAUAUUGGAAAAAAGUGUAAUACCUGAGAUAUUUUCUGUCCUUAGUGUGUUUUUUGUGUGUUGGUGGGGGGAGAAUAGGUAUAUAACACUAAAAUCUGAGUUCUGGCCUUACAAUGUAAUCAUAAUCGAGUGAUUAUCUAAAUCAGUGGCUCUGUCUCAGAACAAUUAAGUAAGAGUUUCUGGGAGCCAGUCACAGUCAUUGCUAUAUUUUAGUCCCUUCUUAGAAGAUUUUCCAUACAAUUGGUUUUAAGAACUACACCUUAUAUUACAGCCUUUAGAGAUUUCAUAUUCUUAUUCUUUGUUUCCAG